UUUCACUAACUUAGGCGGUGCUCUGGGUAGUUUUGUGCAAUGGCCCAUACACUUAGUGAUUUUCGAAGACGGCGAGGAUUGUACUUCACCUCCUAAAAAGAAGUCCAAGUCUAAUGUUUCUAAAGAGAGGGAUGGUAGCUCCAAGAAAAAGACAACGGUAUUAGCGGCCCAAAAGAAGACAACAGACUUAGCAUCCAAGGAAUUUUCGCAUCCAAAGAAGUCGAUUUCUAAGCCUAAGUCCAACUUAGAGGUCGUGGGUAGUUGUGAUCGUAAAACACAAGAAUCAACCACCAAAAGCAAGAAAGCGGGACUUGUACACGAUGCAAUUCAAGGUCUUGGCCCGUCAUGCAAAUACUUGCAGUUUAUCAUGACUUCGGCGCCUGAUGAUAUAUA